GUCAGGAUGGCUGAGCGGUCUAAGGCGCUACGUUUAGGCCGUAGUCUACUGGGCGUGGGUUCAAAUCCCACUUCUGACA